rnacentral:rRNA from 1 species
GAUGAACGCUGGCGGCGUGCCUAAUACAUGCCAGUCGAGCGAACGGACGAGAAGCUUGCUUCUCUGAUGUUAGCGGCGGACGGGUGAGUAACACGUGGAUAACCUACCUAUAAGACUGGGAUAACUUCGGGAAACCGGAGCUAAUACCGGAUAAUAUUUUGAACCGCAUGGUUCAAAAGUGAAAGACGGUCUUGCUGUCACUUAUAGAUGGAUCCGCGCUGCAUUAGCUAGUUGGUAAGGUAACGGCUUACCAAGGCAACGAUGCAUAGCCGACCUGAGAGGGUGAUCGGCCACACUGGAACUGAGACACGGUCCAGACCCCUACGGGAGGCAGCAGUAGGGAAUCUUCCGCAAUGGGCGAAAGCCUGACGGAGCAACGCCGCGUGAGUGAUGAAGGUCUUCGGAUCGUAAAACUCUGUUAUUAGGGAAGAACAUAUGUGUAAGUAACUGUGCACAUCUUGACGGUACCUAAUCAGAAAGCCACGGCUAACUACGUG